rnacentral:rRNA from 1 species
UACGUAGGGUGCGAGCGUUGUCCGGAAUUAUUGGGCGUAAAGAGCUCGUAGGCGGUGUGUCACGUCGGCCGUGAAAACCUGCAGCUUAACUGUGGGCCUGCAGCCGAUACGGGCAAGCUAGAAUUCGGUAGGGGAGACUGGAAUUCCUGGUGUAGCGGUGAAAUGCGCAGAUAUCAGGAGGAACACCGGUGGCGAAGGCGGGUCUCUGGGCCGAUAUUGACGCUGAGGAGCGAAAGCGUGGGGAGCAAACAGG